rnacentral:rRNA from 1 species
ACGACUCUCGGCAACGGAUAUCUCGGCUCUUGCAUCGAUGAAGAACGUAGCGAAAUGCGAUACUUGGUGUGAAUUGCAGAAUCCCGUGAACCAUCGAGUCUUUGAACGCAAGUUGCGCCCGAAACCUUCCGGUUGAGGGCACGUCUGCCUGGGCGUCACGCAU